rnacentral:misc_RNA from 1 species
UUUGUGUUUGAAUAGAUGUGU